AAGUUUAGGAUUUAAAAUAAAAUUUUACAUAGAUUUGUGCAUGUGUAGAAUGAACCUAGACAACACUAUGUCCAGGUUCAUCCCUGCCAACAGCUCUCUUUUUUUUCUUCUUUUUUCUUCCCUCCCAUCGGCUCUCUCUUCCUCCUCCCUUUCUUCAUUCUUCUUCUCCGUUCAAGGGCCACAACGCCAGCGUACCCCACCCUUAGGCUACACUAGUAGGAGCUCCAGGCGGCAAAGACGCCGUCAGUGGGCAAAGCAGCCGCAUUUUUCGACAAUGGCAGCAGCUCCAACGGUGAGCGAAGGAGAGAAAUGCCGGAACUUCUCUGGCCCAUUCUGGGCGAUUCCGAGCUCAGUUUCAUGCGAGACGAGUGGCUAUGGACUCCUAAUGAAAUGGGCUCCCUUUUCUGACAAGCGGUGUUGCAAACCAUCAUCGGAUUUGCGCAAAUCGAGGAGAGAGAAAAAUGGGCAUUUUUUACUUUUCCGGCCACUUUUUCUGCGAUCCGACCGUUGGAUUGGAAAUCCGAGACCACCAAUGGACUCAGGGCGACGAAAUCUUUGAGAUGGAAUUAGACCUGCUCCAAUCGGACACCGUUGGAAAAAGGCGAUCAUCAGAUGGUCCAGAACGUUUGUGCAAUCGGAUCGAGGAUAGCUCACCAGUGCCGGGACAGCAUUUUCAACCAGAUCCGGCUGCCCGGUGGCCCGUCUCAGAAUGCAGUCGAUAUUAUAGUCAAUCCUAGCAUUUUCAAAUGUUCUGGAUGCAUUUCAAGUGUCAGAAUUGGCAUAGGCUACAGGAGGAGACCUUUUUCAAAAUAACCUGAUUCUUUCCUCGCAGGUUAUCAAUAAUUACUUAAUUGUAUUAUUAUUCUCUAAAUUUGUAAUUUAAAACUCCGCAUGUAUUAGUAGUAGCAUUAAUCUUGUCAGGAACUGUAUGAAUUUAAGUUUUUGUAUUUAUAGAUGAAAAUUUUUUUGAGUUUUCAAUAGUUU
rnacentral:misc_RNA from 1 species